rnacentral:tRNA from 1 species
UUAAUUGAAACCAAAAUAGAGGUAUAUCACUGUUAAUGAUAUUAAUGAGACAACUCCAAUUAAA